rnacentral:rRNA from 1 species
UACGGAGGGGGCUAGCGUUUUUCGGAAUUACUGGGCGUAAAGGGCGCGUAGGCGGACCUGUCAGUCAGGCGUGAAAGCCCAGGGCUCAACCCUGGAGCUGCGCUUGAUACUGCGGGUCUAGAGUGCCGGAGAGGAUGGUGGAAUUCCCAGUGUAGAGGUGAAAUUCGUAGAUAUUGGGAAGAACACCGGUGGCGAAGGCGGCCAUCUGGACGGCAACUGACGCUGAGGCGCGAAAGCGUGGGGAGCAAACAGG